UUUUGCCUUCAUUUAUUUGUUGUGAUUGGGCGUGUCUUGUGACACUCUGGAAUGCAAGUGCUUCAUACUCUGACUAUUAUAUGGUGAAACUAGCUCUUAAAGUUACAUAUGUGAGUGCACUCUUCCCGCCCGUGCUUUUUGAGGGUGCACGUAAAAGGGCUUUAAUCCGCCGUCACAUGAUUCCGCUUCUGCUCUCAACGGAGUCACGGCAGGAAUCGAGGAACUCUGAGCAACUGAUGGCAGAUAUCCGCAUUCCUCGUAUUGUGCUUUUUGGUUCUCAAGUUUCUUUCAACGUCUGAAAACAUGCAAGUGGCAUACUUCAUUCAAGAAAGUGAUCAUCACUAUGCCUAUGGGGAAUCACACAUUGUCUGCUCAGAACUGCACAUCCAUCGUAACAAUCUAAGAACAAGAAGGGCUCCAGGAAGCAGGAAAUGACACACAAGGAGCAUGAACUAUAAGUGAGACCCUUUUAUUGACUUCAGUAACCCAAAGAAGAAGACAAAGGACACAUGAAAGAAUGUCAGUGCACUUUUGCAAGAAAAGGUAUAUAUGUAGCAAGAUCAUAUGCAGAACGCGAAACAAAAUUCACUGGCCCGAAGAGAGCAUACAACAAAUUGGUCCACUGGACGUGAGAGGCAUCAACGGGAGUUCUUUCCUGCAGUGGAUGCUGCAUUAUGGUAGAAUUGAGACUUCACUUCUUUCUGUGCUACCUCUGCUUCUGCUCCUUCCCAACUACUAGUACCUUUCGAGCCAAUCGAGCCAGCAGAGCAAUUAGCUCUGUGUCCAAAAUAACUACAUUCAUGACAGUGAGGCCAUUACUUAAGACCACUCGUGUAGACAAGGCUUAACAACAUGACAACCUGUGACAGUGGCAAGAGGAGGACAGAAGCCAGCAUCUGCAAAUGCAGUGGACAAAGCUGAAGCUGCUACAGAGAUUAGCUAGCAGCACGAGACAGUCAUGAAAUGGAACGCAGCUGAUCUGCCCCCCUCAUAUGAAGGAGAGUUGCGAUCACUGUGAUAGUCAUAGCCUCCUUUAUAAGUGACUGUAGUUUCAUUGAUCUAAUCUGCAUGUAACCAAGCUGUCUGUUUUUAUUACUCUGGAUAUUGUUGUUAUUUACUACAUGUUGGGAUGCAAUCAUAUGCAUGUGUAAGCAAGGUCAAAUGAUACGAGACACAAUCAACCGUCGA